rnacentral:rRNA from 1 species
CACGUAGGGCGCAAGCGUUGUCCGGAAUUAUUGGGCGUAAAGAGCUCGUAGGCGGUUCCGUAAGUCGUGAAGUCAAAUCUCUGGGCUCAACCCAGAAUCGCUUCCGAUACUGCGGUGACUGGAGUCCGGUAGGGGAGUGUGGAAUUCCUGGUGUAGCGGUGAAAUGCGCAGAUAUCAGGAGGAACACCGAUGGCGAAGGCAGCUCGCUGGGACGGUACUGACGCUGAGGCGCGAAAGCGUGGGGAGCAAACAGG